rnacentral:rRNA from 1 species
UACGUAGGGUGCAAGCGUUGUCCGGAAUUAUUGGGCGUAAAGAGCUCGUAGGCGGUCUGUCGCGUCGGAUGUGAAAAUCCAGGGCUCAACCCUGGACCUGCAUUCGAUACGGGCAGACUAGAGUUCGGCAGGGGAGACUGGAAUUCCUGGUGUAGCGGUGAAAUGCGCAGAUAUCAGGAGGAACACCGGUGGCGAAGGCGGGUCUCUGGGGCCGAUACUGACGCUGAGGAGCGAAAGCGUGGGGAGCAAACAGG